rnacentral:rRNA from 1 species
CAACAGGGAUUGCCUUAGUAACGGCGAGUGAAGCGGCAAAAGCUCAAAUUUGAAAUCUGGCACCUUCGGUGUCCGAGUUGUAAUUUGUAGAAGGUAACUUUGGAAUUGGCUCUUGUCUAUGUUCCUUGGAACAGGACGUCACAGAGGGUGAGAAUCCCGUGCGAUGAGGUGCCCAAUUCUAUGUAAAGUGCUUUCGAAGAGUCGAGUUGUUUGGGAAUGCAGCUCUAAGUGGGUGGUAAAUUCCAUCUAAAGCUAAAUAUUGGCGAGAGACCGAUAGCGAACAAGUACAGUGAUGGAAAGAUGAAAAGAACUUUGAAAAGAGAGUGAAAAAGUACGUGAAAUUGUUGAAAGGGAAGGGCUUGAGAUCAGACUUGGUAUUUUGCGUUCCUUCCCCUCGUGGGUUGGUUCCUCGCAGCUUACCGGGCCAGCAUCGGUUUGGAUGGUAGGAUAAUGACAUUGGAAUGUGACACCGCUUCGGUGGUGUGUUAUAGCCUUUGUUGAUACUGCCUGUCUAGACCGAGGACUGCGUCUUUGACUAGGAUGUUGGCAUAAUGAUCUUAAGUCGCCCGUCUUGAACCC